rnacentral:lncRNA from 1 species
UAAAAUACGUAUAUGUUCUAACAUUUGUCCUUUUUAAUUUAUAAGGUUUUCAUUGUCUUUUCUUAAAAUUUCAUUAGCGUGAUUUAUUAUUUUAAAAGCUUCGGUCAUGGAAGAAAAAUGAUCACAAAAUAUAAUUUUGUCUGUGUCUUUUUUCAUAUUAUAUUGGGGAACUUCUUUUAUAUAUGUUCUUAGAGCUAGAGUAAUGUAAUAGUUUGGCUCU